rnacentral:rRNA from 1 species
GACGGCAGCUAGCUCUCUGCAACUCUCACAUGGUCACCCUCUAAAGCUAAGCAGGGAUGCGCCCGGUCAGUACUUGGAUGGGAGACCACAUAGGAAAGCUAGGUUGCUGCCGGAA